rnacentral:sRNA from 1 species
GUUUUUCCAGUGCGGGGAAGGAUGAGAAGCUUCGACCAAGGUUCGAUUCGAGGGUAGCGAGAAAGCGUUGCCGCAGGCAACGACCCGAAGGGCGAGGCGCAACGCGCCGAGUAAUCCUUCCCCCACCACCA